rnacentral:lncRNA from 1 species
CAGCUGUCUGCACAGUCUAAUACGUUUCAGCCAUUCAUUUCAUUGUCUCUGUGUUAGUUUGACAAGGUGUUACUUAUAUAUCAAUCUGAAAAAAUAAACUGACAAAGGAACAAAGUCUGGGGUUUGUAUACGUUAAAUUCCGAAAUUAAUGUCACGGCCAAUGUCAGCUUGAUGCUUUAGCCGACACAGUUUCAUCGAUAUUAGUUCUAUAAUAAUAAUGAUAAUGCUGUAAAUAAAAAUAAAAGACAACACA